AAUCAACGCUGGCGGCGUGCCUAACACAUGCAAGUCGCGCGCGAAAGGGGGGGCAACCCCCCAAGUAGAGCGGCGAACGGGUGAGUAACGCGUGGGUGAUCUACCUUCGAGUGGGGAAUAACACCGGGAAACUGGUGCUAAUACCGCAUGACAUCCUUGGUUCAUUCUGAGGAUCAAAGCCGGGGACCGCAAGGCCUGGCGCUUGAAGAGGAGCCCGCGUCCGAUUAGCUAGUUGGCGGGGUAACGGCCCACCAAGGCUCCGAUCGGUAGCCGGCCUGAGAGGGCGGACGGGCCACACUGGGACUGAGACACGGCCCAGACUCCUACGGGAGGCAGCA
rnacentral:rRNA from 1 species